CCAUUGCAAUUCCACCGUGGUUCAACAGCGGUCUUACAGUGGAUUAACUGUGAAUCUAUUGUGGUUCGAUCGUGGUUCCACCUACGGUUUUAUAGUGGAAUUGUCGUGACUCUGCCGUGGUUCCACAGUGGUUUUACUGUGAUUCAACCUGGAUUCACAAGAAAGCCUUUGCUUAACCACGGUGGAGCCACGAUGGCAAAACGUC